rnacentral:rRNA from 1 species
AUACGGAGGGUGCAAGCGUUACUCGGAAUCACUGGGCGUAAAGCGCGCGCAGGCGGUCUUUUAAGUUGGAUGUGAAAGCCUACGGCUCAACCGUAGAACUGCAUCCAAAACUAUUUGGCUAGAGUGUGGGAGAGGAAGAUGGAAUUAGUUGUGUAGGGGUAAAAUCCGUAGAGAUAACUAGGAAUACCAAAAGCGAAGGCAAUCUUCUGGAACAUUACUGACGCUGAGGCGCGAAAGCGUGGGGAGCAAACAGGAUUAGAUACCCCGGUAGUCC